ACGAUGGAUGGAAAUUUCGUUUGUGAAACAGACUCAAAGAAAAACUUUCUCGACGAUGAAAUAAUAAAUUACGAGAAAUCACGAUAACGUCGAUCGAAGCUCGGCACUUCCUCUACAAAUCGUCUCCAUUUUGAAGCAUCGUGAAGCACGCCAAUCGAAAACAUUAUUGGAUGUCUAUCGACAAAGAAGGAUACAAGAAGAAGUGCAAUAAUCUGGAUGAGAUCAGAAUUAAUAAACGAUCCUGUUUGGAAAAGUUUCUACUCCUUUAAGAACAUUCGUGACUCGGAGGGUGCGCGAUCCUCAACGUCGCGACGAUGUACCCGGUGUCUAUUAUACAAAGCUUUCUCGAAAGGAAAAAAAUAUAAAAAGAAUAGAGAAAAAAAUGGCAAGAAAAGAAAAGGGAACACAAAGUUUCCAUCACGCAAGUGAGAAGUCUACUCGCUUGCUCACUCGUUCAUUCGCACGCCUCUGCGAAGAUUUACGCCUGGUCGUCUGUAAUUUAAUAGAGGAUACUUUGCCGGAGUUCCUUCGAGAGUUACCUGUUCUGUUCGCACGGCCCGCGGAACGUGAGCUGACUUUGUGUCUCAGCAUAUCGUAGGGAAAUAAAAAAAAAAAUAGCUUAUGGAAAAAGGAGAAAGCGAAGAAGAAGGAAAAGAAAUGAAAGAGAAGCCAGAUUGCGCGCAGAUCGUAGUGUCGUUAUUCACCGGCUCGAAUAUCUAAUUACAAUGAAAGAGGCUGUCCACGUAGCGGGGUCCCAAUGAAAAAUUCAAUAUGAAACUGUAAUCGGGAGCUCUGUCUUUCUCCACGGAUUAGUAUCGGCGGCCUGGCCGCCUUCUUCGCUUCCAAUGUCCGUGAUUUAUGACCGGGCCACACGUAACGCGCAUCGGCUGAAUAAUUUUCUCUACCGGCUCUGUGUACGAUACUUUUCCAUUCUCAUCGAUCUCCAAGUGUCAAACUGGUAUUAGAAUCGGCCGAAUGUUGUACGAUGUCUUAUCGAGUUCUCGUCGUUGAAGGCUCAUCUUGCCCCUUCUACUUUUGGGUGAAUCAGAGUUCACAGAAAUGGAAGUAAAUCGACUGACAAAAAGGCCAAUCGAUUGCUUGGCAUUCUGAUAUUUAUUCAAGUUGAUUUCGAGGUGAACGUAGUUCAGAUGAUAUUUUAUCUGGAGUGAAGAAGUGAAGAAAGAAAACUUAAAAGAGAUAUUUUUGUGUUGAGACAGUUAUGGAGAUAGAUUCGACAGAAAUUUCUAGUUUAAGACUGUGAUGCUUUCUAUAAGAAAUUUCAAAGAAAAAGCGACAGACAAAAACAAGUCCUCGAUCAAAUCCCGCAUCUAGUCUUGAAUACCUGUUUAUCUUGUAGCAAUAUCGAACCGUAGACGAGAAAGAUUAGACAUGCCUUGUUAUGAGGUGAGAUAGAGAAUUCAAAUCUUCCCUUUCGAAGCGAACUUCGUUAGCAUAACAACGAUCUGCAAGGAACACGUGGGACGUGAGACAUUCAACAAAAUGUAAAAAACGAAGAGACAUGCUUCCAAGGGAACGAAGCUGUGCAGGCGCAAUGAUAACGUCGAGGAAUUUUCACGUCACGGCUCUUAAUAAAACUUACGAAACGCACGAAACGUAAUAAACGAGCGACGUGUAUAGGUGAUACACGCGGCCAGGCGACUGACCCACUUUUUCUCAAGAUGUAUGAAUAUUAGUUUAACGAACUUGCCGCAACGAAGAUAUAUCUACCACUCUUUCCUUCUUGCUUUUUCCGUAGGUAGAUAGUAUUGCGCUUCAUGUACUUGCAUUGCACGAAUUUUUUUCCACAUUAAACGAGCCGUCUUCAACUCGGGUGGUAAUCAGCCAUCUUCUUAUUUUCACAAACGUUUUGCAUUUUAAGCACGAUGUCACGUAGAGAUUUAUCAUCAUUCUUAAUCUAAUAUCUUUCGUUAUUGAUAUUUCAAGAAUAUCUAAUAUAAAAUUGUAAAAUCUAUUUAUUAAUUUGUAAUA